rnacentral:lncRNA from 1 species
UUUAUAUUGAGCAUUUCGCACCUCAUAUGCAAAGUGCUGCUUGACGAAGCAUUUGGGGAUUUUCUUGGCAUGAGAGAUCGUUUGUCGUACGCUCGACGGUAAGAAGGGCUUGUCGCACGUUAUCGAUCGCUCGCGAAGCGCUCCGACUACGAACAAUUACACCAUUAACAAAUUGCAUUCAAAGAUCUUUGUUUUUGCUGCCCUUGUGUGACUUCACGUGUGGGUGCGGUGGAUUUCGCUGCCGCAUCGGGCAUCCCGCUCACAAUAUUCCUUUUAGCCCUAAGGCACUCUCUCCAUUAUUGGGCUGUAUUAGGUGCUAUAGCUUAGCUUAGCUGAUCAGCGACGCGUACUCUGAUAUCGACUACUACAGUGCAGCCGCCUCUUGGCAAGAAAUCCAUGGCAAGUAAGUCGAAGGACAUUCUGUGCGCGCGCACUGCGGAAUCGCGUGCUUUCAGCUAUUCAAAUGUGUUAUACUCUGCAGGGCUAACGAUGAUUGGGAGCUGACGCCUAUUGGGUGUGGACGAGGAGGCAUAGCGCAUCGCGGUGCCGUGCCGCGUAUAGGAGGAAGAACAUCCGCGGCCAUCCGUGGUGGGUGUGUUGGUCGGGGCUAAUUUUUGAUUGGAAUAAUAAAAAAGUAUCUAUGGACAUAGGUUCCUAGGUUUGGGAGACACGUAUAGCCUUUGUGGUGCUGUUGCAUCAAUGGCUUCUCCGGGAUAUGUCUGCAUGCUCAACACCGGUGUUUAGGCAUCCUAUCCGUAGGUUAUGGCACAUAGAAAGGUUUAGGAAGCGUCCGGGAAUUGGGGCAUAGGUGUAUGGCGGACUUUUUGGGUGGCUUUAGGGGAGAUGUUAAGAGUGGGAGGGGGUGGGAGGGGGUGGGGGCCGCCGCCGCCGUAUCAUCCUACCCUAUAUUAUAUCUUCUGCUGCCCCCAGCCAGCAGGCGAAAAGCCAGGGCACUGAUAUGCCCAAGGCAAACCGUGUGGCUCGGCAGCCAAGGUGCACCGUGACCCGGCUGACCAGGGCGUGCAAUCGUGCCUUCCAGGCCGCCAAGGUGAGAGGCGGGGGGGGAAACAGAAGAAGAAAAAAAAUAGCAAGGCUACACAAUAGAAAUUAUAUUUAUAGCAGUUAUAAACAUAAAACAGUGUUGCGCAAAUGUUUUCCUGAUCAACGAAAAACGGCGUUUUUGUGGGUUGUUGUUUGGAAAAAGGGGACCGACCGACAGUUUGCACAUGUAUGUAUGUGCAAACGAGAGGUG